rnacentral:rRNA from 1 species
AGCAGCCGCGGUAAUUCCAGCUCCAAUAGCGUAUAUUAAAGUUGUUGCAGUUAAAAAGCUCGUAGUUGAAUUUCGGGAUCAAUAUGUUGGUCGUGCCUUGGUACGUACUGGCAUUAUUGGUUUCUACCUUCUGAAGAACCUCGAUGUCAUUAAUUUGGUGUCUUGGGGAAUCAGGACUGUUACUUUGAAAAAUUAGAGUGUUUAAAGCAGGCUCGCGCUUGAAUACAUUAGCAUGGAAUAAUGAAAUAGGACGUUUGAUUCUAUUUUGUUGGUUUCUAGGAUCGACGUAAUGAUUAAUAGGGAUAGUUGGGGGCAUUAGUAUUCAAUUGUCAGAGGUGAAAUUCUUGGAUUUAUUGAAGACUAACUACUGCGAAAAGCAUUUGCCAAGGAUGUUUUCAUUAAUCAAGAACGAAAGUUAGGGGAUCGAAGACGAUCAGAUACCGUCGUAGUCUUAACCAUAAACUAUGCCGACUAGGGAUCGGAUGAUGUUAAUUUUUAAUGUACUCA